rnacentral:rRNA from 1 species
UACGGAGGGUGCGAGCGUUGUCCGGAAUCACUGGGCGUAAAGGGCGCGUAGGCGGCCUGAUAAGUAGGGGGUGAAAUCCUGCGGCUUAACCGCAGGGCUGCCUUCUAAACUGUCAGGCUCGAGCACAGUAGAGGCAGGUGGAAUUCCCGGUGUAGCGGUGGAAUGCGUAGAGAUCGGGAAGAACAUCAGUGGCGAAGGCGGCCUGCUGGGCUGUUGCUGACGCUGAGGCGCGACAGCGUGGGGAGCAAACAGGG